GACGAACGCUGGCGGCGUGCUUAACACAUGCAAGUCGAACGGAAAGGCCCUUCGGGGUACUCGAGUGGCGAACGGGUGAGUAACACGUGGGUGAUCUGCCCUGCACUUUGGGAUAAGCCUGGGAAACUGGGUCUAAUACCGAAUAUGAUCACGGGCUUCAUGGUCUGUGGUGGAAAGCUUUUGCGGUGUGGGAUGGGCCCGCGGCCUAUCAGCUUGUUGGUGGGGUAAUGGCCUACCAAGGCGACGACGGGUAGCCGGCCUGAGAGGGUGACCGGCCACACUGGGACUGAGAUACGGCCCAGACUCCUACGGGAGGCAGCAGUGGGGAAUAUUGCACAAUGGGCGCAAGCCUGAUGCAGCGACGCCGCGUGAGGGAUGACGGCCUUCGGGUUGUAAACCUCUUUCAAUAGGGACGAAGCGCAAGUGACGGUACCUAUAGAAGAAGGACCGGCCAACUACGGUGCCAGCAGCCGCGGUAAUACGUAGGGUCCGAGCGUUGUCCGGAAUUACUGGGCGUAAAGAGCUCGUAGGUGGUUUGUCGCGUUGUUCGUGAAAACUCACAGCUUAACUGUGGGCGUGCGGGCGAUACGGGCAGACUUGAGUACUGCAGGGGAGACUGGAAUUCCUGGUGUAGCGGUGGAAUGCGCAGAUAUCAGGAGGAACACCGGUGGCGAAGGCGGGUCUCUGGGCAGUAACUGACGCUGAGGAGCGAAAGCGUGGGGAGCGAACAGGAUUAGAUACCCUGGUAGUCCACGCCGUAAACGGUGGGUACUAGGUGUGGGUUUCCUUCCUUGGGAUCCGUGCCGUAGCUAACGCAUUAAGUACCCCGCCUGGGGAGUACGGCCGCAAGGCUAAAACUCAAAGAAAUUGACGGGGGCCCGCACAAGCGGCGGAGCAUGUGGAUUAAUUCGAUGCAACGCGAAGAACCUUACCUGGGUUUGACAUGCACAGGACGUGCCUAGAGAUAGGUAUUCCCUUGUGGUCUGUGUGCAGGUGGUGCAUGGCUGUCGUCAGCUCGUGUCGUGAGAUGUUGGGUUAAGUCCCGCAACGAGCGCAACCCUCGUCCUAUGUUGCCAGCGGGUUAUGCCGGGGACUCGUAGGAGACUGCCGGGGUCAACUCGGAGGAAGGUGGGGAUGACGUCAAGUCAUCAUGCCCCUUAUGUCCAGGGCUUCACACAUGCUACAAUGGCCGGUACAAAGGGCUGCGAUGCCGUGAGGUGGAGCGAAUCCUUGUAAAGCCGGUCUCAGUUCGGAUCGGGGUCUGCAACUCGACCCCGUGAAGUCGGAGUCGCUAGUAAUCGCAGAUCAGCAACGCUGCGGUGAAUACGUUCCCGGGCCUUGUACACACCGCCCGUCACGUCAUGAAAGUCGGUAACACCCGAAGCCGGUGGCCUAACCCCUUGUGGGAGGGA
rnacentral:rRNA from 1 species